CCUACGGGGGGCUGCAGUGAGGAAUAUUGGUCAAUGGGCUUACGCCUGAACCAGCCAAGUCGCGUGAGGGAAGACUGCCCUAUGGGUUGUAAACCUCUUUUGUCAGGGAGCAACGCCGGCUACGUGUAGCCGGACUGAGAGUACCUGAAGAUAACGCAUCGGCUAACUCCGUGCAAGCAGCCGCGGUAAUACGGAGGAGGCGAGCGUUAUCCGGAUUUAUUGGGUUUAACGGGUGCGUAGGCGGAAUGCCAAGUCAGCGGUAAAAUCGCGGGGCUAAACCUCGCCCCGCCGUUGAAACUGGCGAUCUUGAGUGAGCGAGAGGUAUGCGGAAUGCGUGGUGUAGCGGUGAAAUGCAUAGAUAUCACGCAGAACUCCGAUUGCGAAGGCAGCAUACCGGCGCCCAACUGACGCUGAAGCACGAAAGCGUGGGUAUCGAACAGGAUUAGAUACCCGAGUAGUC
rnacentral:rRNA from 1 species